ACUGUGCCAGCUGGUGGAUGGCUCGGCUCGAGCGCCGAAGAAGGACGUGCCAAGCUGCGAUAAGCCUGAGGGAGCCGCACGGAGGCGAAGAACUCAGGAUCUCCUAAUGGGAAUCCCCUCGCAAUUGCCUUGCGCAAUGGGGAACGUCGAGAAUUGAAACAUCUUAGUAUCGACAGGAAAAGAAACCGAAUGGGAUGUCGUCAGUAACUGCGAGUGAAAGCGACCCAGUCCAAACCGAAGCCUUCACGGGCAAUGUGGUGUUCGGACUGACUCUCAUCGCCUGAACGUUUUCGUGAAGUCUCUUGGAACAGAGCGCGAUACAGGGUGAAAGCCCCGUAACGGAAGCAAGUAAGGCGUGCGUCAGCUCCAGAGUAUCGGGGAUUGGAAAUUCCUCGUGAAUAUGGUCAGCAUCGAUGACCAAGACUAAACACGUCUCGAGACCGAUAGCGAAAAAGUAGCGUGAGCGAACGCUGAAAAGCACCCCAAGAAGGGGGGUGCAAUAGGGCCUGAAAUCAGUUGGCGAUGGAGCGACGGGGCACAAAAGGUCCUGUAGAAAACGACAGAGGCGCGAGCCUCCAGUAGGAACUACAGGAAGCCGGUGUUCCGUCGUGCGUUUUGAAAAACGAGCCAGGGAGUGUGUUGGUUUGGCGAGUCUAACCGGUGUAUCCGGGAAGGCAUAGGGAAACCGACAUGGCCGCAGUCUUACGACGAGGGCCGCCGUGUUCAAGCGCGGGGAGUCAAACCGACACGACCCGAAACCGGAUGAUCUACGCGUGGGCAAGGUGAAGCGUACCGAAAGGCACGUGGAAGCCUGUUAGGGAUGGUGUCCUACAAUACCCUCCCGUGACCUACGUGUAGGGGUGAAAGGCCCAUCGAAUCCGGCAACAGCUGGUUCCAACCGAAACAUGUCGAAGCAUGACCUCUGCUGAGGUAGUCCGUGGGGUAGAGCUACCGAUUGGGGGUGCAGACUCCGAGAGGAGUCGGCCCCCCUGUCGAACUCCAAACCUACGGACGCCGUUGACGCAGGGAAUCCGGUGUGCGGGGUAAGCCUGUGCACCGUGAGGGAGACAACCCAGAGCUGGGUUAAGGUCCCAAAGUGCGGACUAAGUGCGAUUGAAGGUGGUCCCGAGCCCUAGACAGCCGGGAGGUGAGCUUAGAAGCAGCUACCCUCUAAGAAAAGCGUAACAGCUUACCGGCCGAGGUUCGGGGCGCCCAAAAUGAUCGGGGCUCAAGUCCGCCACCGAGACCUGGCCGCACCCGUGACAGGGUGAUCGAGUAGGUUGGCACUCCGUUCGGGUGGAAGCUCGGGUGAGAACUCGAGUGGACCGAAUGGUGACGAAAAUCCUGGCCAUAGUAGCAGCGUUAGUCGGGUUAGAACCCCGACGGCCUAAUGAGCAAGGGUUCCUCGGCAAUGCUGAUCAGCCGAGGGUUAGCCGGUCCUAAGUCUCGUCGCAGUUCGAGCGAGACAAAAGGGAAACGGGUUAAUAUUCCCGUGCCACCGUACAAUAAAAGUCGACGCCUCGGGGUAAGUCAAGCCGGGCUAUCGCCCGGUCGAACCGUCCAAUUCCGUGGAAGCCGUAAUGGCACGAAGCGGACGAACGGCGGAACAGCGCAAGUUGACCCAACCUGGGGCCCGUGAAAAGACGAGUACGGUGUCCGUACCGAGAUCCGACACAGGUGCUCAGGCGGAGAAAGCCAAGGCCUGUCGGGAGCAACCGACGUUAGGGAAUUCGGCAAGUUAGUCCCGUAAGUUCGCGAUAAGGGAUGCCUGCCCCGGAUAGGGGCAGGUCGCAGUGACUCGGACGCUCCGACUGUCUAGUAACAACAUAGGUGACCGCAAAUCCGCAAGGACUCGUACGGUCACUGAAUCCUGCCCAGUGCGGGUAUCUGAACACUCGGUACAACGAGGCGAAGGACCCGUUAACGGCGGGGGUAACUAUGACCCUCUUAAGGUAGCGUAGUACCUUGCCGCUUCAGUAGCGGCUUGCAUGAAUGGAUCAACGAGAGCGUCACUGUCCCAACGUUGGGCCCGGUGAACUGUACGUUCCAGUGCGGAGUCUGGAGACCCCCAAGGGGAAGCGAAGACCCUAUAGAGCUUUACUGCAGGCUGUCGCUGGGACACGGUCGCUGAUGUGCAGCAUAGGUAGGAGUCGUUACACAGGUACCCGCGCUAGCGGGCCACCGAGACAUCAUUGAAAUACUACCCGUCAGUGACUGUGACCCUCACUCCGGGAGGAGGACACCGGUAGCCGGGCAGUUUGACUGGGGCGGUACACGCUCGAAAAGAUAUCGAGCGUGCCCCAAGAUUUCCUCAUCCGGGUCGGGAACCCGGAAGAGAGCGCAAGAGCAAAAGGAAGUCUGACAGUGUCCUGCACAACAAGGGACGCUGACGCGAAAGCGUGGUCUAGCGAACCUAUCAGCCUGCUUGAUGCGGGCGAUAGAUGACAGAAAAGCUACCUUAGGGAUAACAGAGUCGUCACCCGCAAGAGCACAUAUCGACCGGGUGGCUUGCUACCUCGAUGUCGGUUCCCUCCAUCCUGCCCGUGCAGAAGCGGGCAAGGGUGAGGUUGUUCGCCUAUUAAAGGAGGUCGUGAGCUGGGUUUAGACCGUCGUGAGACAGGUCGGCUGCUAUCUAUUGGGGGUGUUACGGUAUCUGACGGGAACGGUCGUAUAGUACGAGAGGAACUACGACUGGUCACCACUGGUUUACCGGUUGUCCGAGAGGGCACGUGCCGGGCAGCUACGUGACACGGGGUAAGAGCUGAACGCAUCUAAGCUCGAAACCCACCUGGAAAAGAGAUACCACCGAGACCACUCGUACAAGACGAGGUCGAUAGGCUCGGGGUGUACGCGCCGAGGCAACGAGGCGUUUAGCCCGCGAGUACUAACUGGUCGAGCCAACACU
rnacentral:rRNA from 1 species